GAUGAACGCUGGCGGCGUGCCUAAUACAUGCAAGCCGAGCGAACGGACGAGGAGCUUGCUUCUCUGAUGUUAGCGGCGGACGGGUGAGUAACACGUGGAUAACCUACCUAUAAGACUGGGAUAACUUCGGGAAACCGGAGCUAAUACCGGAUAAUAUUUUGAACCGCAUGGUUCAAAAGUGAAAGACGGUCUUGCUGUCACUUAUAGAUGGAUACGCGCUGCAUUAGCUAGUUGGUAAGGUAACGGCUUACCAAGGCAACGAUGCAUAGCCGACCUGAGAGGGUGAUCGGCCACACUGGAACUGAGACACGGUCCAGACUCCUACGGGAGGCAGCAGUAGGGAAUCUUCCGCAAUGGGCGAAAGCCUGACGGAGCAACGCCGCGUGAGUGAUGAAGGUCUUCGGAUCGUAAAACUCUGUUAUUAGGGAAGAACAUAUGUGUAAGUAACUGUGCACAUCUUGACGGUACCUAAUCAGAAAGCCACGGCUAACUACGUG
rnacentral:rRNA from 1 species